rnacentral:rRNA from 1 species
AUUGAACGCUGGCGGCAGGCCUAACACAUGCAAGUCGAACGAGUGGCGGACGGGUGAGUAAUGUCUGGGAAACUGCCUGAUGGAGGGGGAUAACUCCUGGAAACGGUAGUUAAUACCGCAUACCAUCGGAUGUGCCCAGAUGGGAUUAGCUUGUUGGUGGGGUAACGGCGCACCAACGCGACGAUCCCUAGCUGGUCUGAGAGGAUGACCAGCCACACUGGAACUGAGACACGGUACAGACUCCUACGUGCGGCAGCAGUGGGGAAUAUUGCACAAUGGGCGAAAGCCUUAUGCAGCCAUGCCGCGUGUAUGAAGAAGGCCUUCGGGUUGUAAAGUACUUUCAGCGGGGAGGCGUUACCCGCAGAAGAAGCGCCGGCUAACUCCGUGCCAGCAGCCGCGGUAAUAC